GAAUACACCCAGGACAGCUGAUAUCUCAAACUCCCUUCUCUGCACACAUUCUUGCAGCACCUGCUCUGUCCCCUUUCCAGGCUGUGUUGAAAGUGCAAGCUAAAAACAGGAAUGUCUCUGCAUGGCCAGCCUCAAGUGGGAUUGUUGUGCGUGUGUGUGUAGCACCCUAGAUAUAGGAAGGCAGAUGGCUGUCACCUUUCUAUUUUCCUCCUUACUAUAUGGCCUCUGUAGACAGUAGGCAUUUGCUCUAAUUUACAUUGUCACAUUAUUUGAAUUCAUGCCCAUUUUCUGUAUUUUGCAAUACUUGUUCUUCUCUAAAGUUAUUUAGUAUUUUCUGUUGGUAAUAAKGCCUACCUUCUACACUGAGGACAAGUUCUGCUUUUAAUCUACCUGGGGUGACAUUCAAUGCAAGAAGCUCAUACUGAAGAGGUGGUUCACCUCUACUGCCUUUUGAACAAGCCUGAUCUUUGUAUCACAAAGAAGAAACAUGAAAAAAAGACACUGUCAUGCAAGAAAAGAGCUUUUCUUAUUUAACACAUACACUGCUAACCAAGAAGUGUAGGCAUCACACAURAAGACAUGCAUCAAAAUGUCCCUGGAGAUGCUAAUGGAAGAAAGGAUCUACUGCAAAGAAUCUGAAUUGUGUACAGACAGAUCACUAACCAUAUGACA